AUUGCACAUUUUAGCUUAACAAUUUAACAACGGCAGUUUUAAAUUUGUCCCGAACGUAAUUACUUUUUGCGCAUAGCAAGGUCUUUAUGUGAUCUAGCAACUGGAUCGAUACUGGAUGACAGUUCGAUUAUCCAAUCAGAAUCAGCUGUCAACAAAGGGUGUUGCCAGAAUACAAAUAUGCACGAUUUUCACAAUAUUUAAUUAUUUAGAAUUUACAAUUUAAAUGUAAUUAAUAAAUCAGAAAAUAUUUACUUUGUUGUUGGAAAAUUAUAUAGAAUUUUGUGCACUAGGAUUUUCAGUUGGUUGAAAUUUAUUUCUGCAGAGGACUGCUGAGGUAGUCAUUUUAGAUGUUACCCCCAAGCCUCUCAAGGUCGUUAGGGCUCCUGAGAUCAUUUCCUGCACUUGCUAGCUGUCUCCGGUCCUGUUCAGGCCUCCAGUGCCUGCUUUUAUUUAUCGAGUUUCAUCUUCGAUCCAAAAAGUGAUCAGAUUGAUGGAGUGCUGGCGGUCAAUCCUUGUGUAGCCUAAGGGCAUUCUGGAGGAAUAUUUUCCCACCAUGAAUUUCUUCUGGUGGACUAUGUGGAGGGAAGGGUCGUCAGAGCUGAGAAAAUGAGCUCUCUCAAGUUCCAGCUGGUAAGGAAAUCAGAAUAGUAAUUGUCCACAUUUAAUAGGUUAGACCACAUUCACUUUUCUAAUGAUGUCUUGUUUUCCUUUUCAGCUGACUGGGAACUAUAACUAUAAUUACAAUUAAAACUAUAUUUACAAUUACAAUUACAACUAAAUCUGUGUUUAGGCCUACUCCAGGUUAUACUGGUUAUACAGACAUUCAAGUAAUGUCUUCUUUAUAAAGGGGCCGGUUUGUCCGGCAACUCCAAUUUUACCACAAGCGUCGAAUGGUGCGAUAGCUUGCUUCCGGGGUCGAGCCUAUCCAGGCGAAGAAGAUGCUCUCAACUUGCUGAUGCGUCGGUUGCGGUGGUGCUUCAUUGUGUCACAGCGCCUGGGGCGACCAGCUUCAGCUCGCAGAAGGAGGGCUUACACAUUGUAUUAGCGGUAACUUCUGGCUUGAAGGUUGGUGUCAUUUUCUUUCUUCCUGGAAGGCAAGAUUACUUAGUUUAGUUAAGAAGAAUUCCUAUUAUCUAUGUUGGCACUGAUAACUAGGGACUAACAGAACUUAGGAACGCUUGUAAAUCAUUUAGAAUUGAACUAUUGCACGGCCCAGCUCUACCGUCUGGCAAUACAUAUUAAGGUGCUAGCUUAAGCUUAGAAUAAUGAUUUACUGGCUAUAACUUGCUUUGUGUCCGUUAGACAAUAAAAUAGUGUGUCACAA
rnacentral:lncRNA from 1 species